CAGGGAAUCUUGCACAAUGGGCGAAAGCCUGAUGCAGCGACGCCGCGUGGGGGAUGAAGGCCUUAGGGUCGUAAACCCCUUUCAGCAGGGACGAAAAUGACGGUACCUGCAGAAGAAGCCCCGGCCAACUACGUGCCAGCAGCCGCGGUAAGACGUAGGGGGCGAGCGUUGUCCGGAUUUAUUGGGCGCAAAGAGCUCGUAGGCGGUUGCGUAAGUCGGAUGUGAAAACUCAGGGCUCAACCCUGAGACGCCAUCCGAUACUGCGCUGACUUGAAUCCAGUAGGGGAGUGUGGAAUUCCUGGUGUAGCGGUGAAAUGCGCAGAUAUCAGGAGGAACACCCAUGGCGAAGGCAGCACUCUGGGCUGGUAUUGACGCUGAGGAGCGAAAGCAUGGGUAGCGAACAGGAUUAGAUACCCGAGUAGUCCCUG
rnacentral:rRNA from 1 species